rnacentral:hammerhead_ribozyme from 2 species
UGCCGAAACACCCUUCGGGGUGUCGGGGUGGGGUGGCGCUCACCUCCUGACGAUGGCAGCCACGA